AGCCCAGACUCCUACGGGAGGCAGCAGUGGGGGAUAUUGCACAAUGGGGGGAACCCUGAUGCAGCGACGCCGCGUGGGCGAAGAAGCGCCUCGGCGCGUAAAGCCCUAUCAGCAGGAAAGAAAAUGACGGUACCUGACUAAGAAGCCCCGGCUAACUACGUGCCAGCAGCCGCGGUAAUACGUAGGGGGCAAGCGUUAUCCGGAUUUACUGGGUGUAAAGGGAGCGUAGACGGCAGUGCAAGUCCGGAGUGAAAGCCCGGGGCUCAACCCUGGGACUGCUCUGGAAACUGUAAAGCUGGAGUGCGGGAGGGGCAGGCGGAAUUCCUGGUGUAGCGGUGAAAUGCGUAGAUAUCAGGAGGAACACCGGUGGCGAAGGCGGCCUGCUGGACUGCGACUGACGUUGAGGCCCGAAAGCGUGGGGAGCAAACAGGAUUAGAUACCCGUGUA
rnacentral:rRNA from 1 species